GAUGAACGCUGGCGGCGUGCCUAAUACAUGCAAGUCGAGCGAACAGACGAGGAGCUUGCUCCUCUGACGUUAGCGGCGGACGGGUGAGUAACACGUGGAUAACCUACCUAUAAGACUGGGAUAACUUCGGGAAACCGGAGCUAAUACCGGAUAAUAUAUUGAACCGCAUGGUUCAAUAGUGAAAGACGGUUUUGCUGUCACUUAUAGAUGGAUCCGCGCCGCGUUAGCUAGUUGGUAAGGUAACGGCUUACCAAGGCGACGAUGCGUAGCCGACCUGAGAGGGUGAGCGACCAAACUAGAAAAGAAACACGGACCAGACUCCGACGGGAGGCAGCGGAAGGGAAUCUUGCGCAAAGGGCGAAGGCCAGAAGGAGAAACGACGCGUGAGGGAUAAAGGUCUUGGGAUCAAAAACCUGUUUUAUGGGGAAAAAACAAAUGUAAAAGAAAAAGUCCCCUUCGUGAGGGUACCUAAAAAAAAAGCCAGGGCAAACUACGGG
rnacentral:rRNA from 1 species